AGCCGGUCAGACGGUUGCGGAUAGAAAUAUCUGAGGAAAGUCCGAGCCCCAUAGGGCAGAAUAGCGGCUAACGGCCGCCGAGGGUGACCUUAGGGAAAGUGCACAGAAAUAUACCGCCGCUUUUUUGCGGUAAGGUUGGAAUGGCGAGGUAAGAGCUCACCGGCAUUGCGGAGACGCAGUGGCCAGGCAAACCCUAUUCGGAGCAACACUGACUGCGGCGAUACACCUGCCCGGUGUGCCGCGAAAAGUGGCUUGAGCGGUGGGAGCAAUCCCCCGUCGAGAUAGAUAACCGUCCUUGACAGAACUCGGCUUAUCGACCGGCUCA
rnacentral:RNase_P_RNA from 1 species